AUGUAGUCAAGAGAGGGAGUCUCCAUGUGAUCCCGGGGGAAGAGAAGAUGUAUCAGGAUGCCAUCUUUGGAAAGGAAUUCAUGUUGGGCAAAGGAGUGCCUCGAACCGUAGUAACACCGAGAGGGGCUGCCCACACAGGAAUGACAGCGUCCACGGGCACCAAGCUUCUGGCUUGCUCUUCAGUCUCAGCUCUUCCCUGCAGCUAAGUUCAAGUGGGUUUCUGUGUGGUUGAAACCUCGCUGCCCUGCAAGCUGAAUCAUUAUUAGAAACACAUUUUGUGUGUCUGGUACCGGAGUUCAAAGUCACGAGACUCGGAGUCUACCGGAGGAACUGGCUGAGCUACUGAGCAUGCUGCUCCUAAAGCCAGUAUCCGUCGCUCUGCCUGCCAGUCUCUUGAUUUGGAAACCUUCACUCCGUUUACAGGCCCACUAGUAGUUAGGAGUUGGGGGUCACCACAGCGAAUGGUAUGAAAUCCCACCUCUUUCGUAGAAUUAUCGCUCAAAUCGAAGAAGCAUGCACCGUGACUGUGACAGGUGGAUGAUGGAAAUGACGCAUGGGGAAAGGGACAUGAACGAAGAGAGACCGUGGUGGGAUUCAUCAGACCCUUGACUCGGCAAUGCGGUUGCAACUGGAAUUGCUUUCAGAGAGUUUCUGUUUUGCCUGCUCGGUUCUCACGCAAAGGUCACGCUUCUCAGGGUUGAAACGUCCUUGGAGGAGUCUUAGUGACUUUUGGUACAGGCAACACGGUGACUGAGAAAUACUGCUGCAUAGGGAAAACACUUUGAAGACGAAACAAACAUGAGCUGAAUCCGGAAGGGAGACAAAGGUGAAGGCACUAUUGGGACGACACAGGAAGCAGGGGAAGAGGAUUGGCCUUGAGAGAUGGAGCAGAGUGUACAAAGGUCUAGGUGCAGGAGGGAUUCCAGCUUGCAUGCCAAACGGCACAGAGAUCAGCGUAGAUGAAAUACAGUGUGUGUGGGGGGGGGUACAAAGAUUCAGGCAAAGUGUAUCUCAUCACAAGGUUUUGUUUUUAAUUUAUUUAGUACUAAAAAUUUCAGAAGAAUUUUAAUCAGACGAAACACGCAAUCUUGCACGCGAUAAAAAAAAAUGGACAUCCUGAUGGCUGUUUGAAAAUGGAUUUGGAGAGACCCAGAGAGGAACUGGGUAAGGAGAUUGUGACCUUAGCCCAACAGAAAAAUGAUGAUGGCUUGGACAUGAUGGUUUAUGUAGCAUGCAACCAAUGAGGAAGUGUAUGGGCAACGGACGUACUUUAGACGAUGUCUAUCCAGACUUGCUAUGUUCUUUGAAGAAACUAAUCAGGGAAAUAAAUGAAUUGCUUAAACCCUGAUAGAAAGAAUUUCCCAAACUCCCCAUAUGGGGCUCCACGCAUCUUAUGGAACCAUGGUUUUCUAAGUAUCAGGUCACAAAGAGGUACCUUGGGCUCUGGAGAGUACCUAUAUCAUGGCCCAAGAUUUGCUUGAGAUAGAAAAGGCAAACCACUUGAUACAGAAUGGAGGGUGCUUUGGGAGAGGGGUUAUAGGUUAUGACAGCCAUUCAGACAUCUUAGACUCCCAUGAAAUUACUGUUUUUAUAAUAGGAAUCAUUGUUCAUGAAUGACAGGCUUGUUAGAUGUAAAAAUAUAUAAAGAAGCUGAGCUCACACUAAGGUAUAUGUAAGUAUGUGUUAGUUGAAAUCAUGUAAGAUGUACUUUAUGAGGAUAUUAAGGUUUUUCUUGAAUGGACAUGUAUUUUCCAGUUUUUUUGGCUGAUUAAAAAAGAAGAAGAAAAUAUUGCUUGAUUACUAUUAUAAUAUUAUAAAUCAAGUGGUGCAACUGAAAAUGUAUGCUUUAUCUAAGCUAAGGUAGCAAGCUAUAUUGGUAUAUGCCAAAAUUCACUUAUGUUCAAAGAAACGCUGGAAAUAAGGAAAGUACUAUAAAUAUUUGCUAUAAACACUCUACAAAGUUCCUGGUAAACAUAGUACUUGAGAAAAUAUCCUGGUUUUUAAUAAAAACCCACAAGUAUUUACUUUCAGUUUCCCAGUUUAAAGUGCGAAGCAUGUAGUCAGUCACUCAUCCCAUCUGAAUGUGCCAUUUACUUCUGUUUGAGGCCACCCAGGUAGUGUGUACACUUAGGAGACUGUGGAGAGACAGCCAACCUUGAUUUAUUAACCUAUUAAAUGAGAAAAUCCUGAUUUUCUUUCUGUAAGUACAGGAGAAAGAAAAAGAACGAGCUAAGCAAAUAAAGAAUCUCAAGAUGUUACUUUUUCCAUCGUAGAGUAGAUUCCUGUAGUCUCUCUAAUGGUUACCUUUCACAAAUGCUUUAAAAGGGGGUUUUAUGAACUAGAGAAACAUUCCAUUAGCUUCUUUACCAAAAUAAAGACCUCCUGUUUGGAUAUAUGCUGGCCCAGUAAUAACAGUCUCCUGCAUAGUUUUAGCUGCAUGCAUAUAUGCAUAUAUUUAUUUUGCGCUUGUAUUUUCACCUAAAUUCUGUAUUUCUUCCUCUUUAAAAGAAUUAUUAAGAUUUACUACUUGGAGUUAGUAUAGGCAUGAGAAGAAGUAUUAAGUUUUGACCAGGAACUAUGGAAUUUUCCUGUAGGUUGAGCUGCUGACUCAGUCUCAAUUAUAAGACAUUGAGCUACAAAGGAGCAGAACCGACCACUUGUAGAAAGUCUUAGAAACUCUGGUGACCUGAAAAGAGAAUGGACCACAGCAUCAUUUCUUUCUUGGUCCCUACCUCUCAGUGCUUUGUUGUCUACAAAAGACUGUUUGUAGUUCCUUUGGCUGCUGGCUCCUCCUUUCAGCUUUGUUCAGCUGUUACAUGGCUUUUUAAAUCAACCUUUGGGCACCUGCAGCACGCUUUCCCAACCUCCACAUGCUUCUGAUGUUCUUGGUAUCGUGAAAGUUUCCAUCAUUUCCGUUAUUUCCUUUUUCAUCCCAGUCCUUUGGGUGUGGCCCCCACACAGUGAAUGCCAUGACUUCGCAGUCCCUCUCAGACUAUUAUAACCAUAAAGGAUGUCUGUUUGUGUGACACAGGCAUACACUAGAUUGGAGAUCAACCCCCAAGUUUUUCUCUUUAACAAACAUCCAUAAUGACACACUUGAUGCUUUCCUUUGGAACAGGUCAGAACAGUGGUUCUCAACCUCUGUGUCAAAUGACCCUUUCACAUAAGUUGCAUAUUAGAUACUCAGCAUGUCAAAUAUUGACAUUAUGGUUCAUAGCAACAACAAAAUUACAGUUGUUAAGUAACAAUAAAAAAUAAUUGUAUGGGUGGGGGUCGCCACAGUAUGAGGAACUGUAUGUAUUAAAGGGUCAUAGCAUUAGGAAGAUGGAGAACCACUGGGUCAGAGGAAUAGAAGACCCCCCAAAAAGAAGUACUCACUAAUCCACAAAUAAGCCCUUCUAGUACCAAGUGUCUAUAGACAAAAUAUCGAUGAUACUUCAAGUAAAGUCACUGAGUUCAUGAUAUAGUUCAAUCAAGAAAAUGUAAUAGUUUGAGAUUAAAAUCAUAUUAACAAUUGUAAAUUCUGUGUCACUGAGAGUGGGCUGCCUUUUAGUAGCUGAUGUUUUAUUGAAAUAGAGCCAACCAACCCCUCUUCUUUAUGUGUUUCUAUAGAUGCUUCAUACUACAGUGGCACUGAACUGGUCUAUGGAGAAAUAAUGGUGUGUUGUGCUCCAGCACUGAAAGAAUUAGACUAAUAAAGAGAUACAAAAUA